UGUAAGUCUUCCUUUUCAUCCCCGAAGAGCGGAGUGAGGCAGCAGCGACGUCGAGUCCCCUCCAAGGUUCCGCGAACCCGGAGAGCGACGAGCCCGAGAGGGACGAGGAGAAGCAAGAGGAGCUCCAUCGUGGAGCGAUAGUAAUGCGCUCGAUCCUGUAGCCUCUUCUCUUGAUUUUCUUCACUUUCUUGAAGCGGUUUCUUGAAUGUUCCUCUCCUCUGGGUUUGCUUCUGGAUACGAAAGAAGGAGUCCGAGAGGAAAGAGGAGAAGGAGCGGAAGGAGCUGCAAUCUGGAGGCAAGAUCGAGGUUCCCGGGAGAGAUGAGGAGAACGGGCAGAAGGAACUCGAAGACGUAGCUAAGAUCGUGGAACCCAAGAGGAACGAGCAGAACGUGCCGCGGGAUCUGGAGUACGGAGAUAAGGUGAUGCGCUCGUCUCUUGGCUCGAUGCUGGAGUUAUUGUAAGUGGAUCUUGAAUGGUGAUUCUUUUGGUCCUGCUUUGUCAAGAUCUUGGUGCUGUGACGAGGCAUUGGAGUUGCAUUGCAGCUAUCAUAGUUCGCUUCCUGAUUCCUCUGGUUGUCUGUGAUCUGUCAUUGUCCCUUGCAUUACGUUUUCUUGAUUCUUUCUAUCUUGUGUUUCAGCUUAACUUGGUUUAUUGAUGUUAUGAUGGAUUCUGGAUGGUUGUUUCUCGCUUAAAUAACAUCUUAUUUCUUUGGCCUUGGUUCCCCUCUAUUGACUGCCAUGUAGACGAUGUAGCACUGCGCUUCUCUUGCAGUAGAACUUGUGCCAUUACAAGCUGUAUUUAUACCAUUUCGACAAUCUUUGGUUUCUGUGGGUCCUAAUAUUCCUUUAACGUUUUGAGUCUUUCUCGCUGAGUCUAUUAGAAUUAUUCACCAGCACCAAGAUAACAGAUAUUCUGGCCAUAAUUUUUGUGGAAUAUUUUUCGUGAAGGUCAUUCUAGCAUGAGGAUAUCGGAACCCACAAGAUUUGCAGCGAGUUGUUAGCUAGAAUGAUCUUUUAUUCCCGCCUUUAUAUGUUAUUUGUGCUGGUAUCUUUGGCUCGUUGGAGAUUGCCUCUCAUUUGAUUGACAUACUUAUUUAUUUGGCCAUGGUUCUUUCCCCUCUCUCGUCUGCUAUCCGGUUAGUUCAACAUCAUGCUUUCCUUGUAGGAAAAUUCGUGCCAUUAUUUCUCUUACAAUAGAAUUGAACAAUAAAAUUGUACCAUUUUAUCUGUCUUUGUUUUCCUGGAUCUUUAUUUCAUAACAGUUUUUGCCUGCAUCUCCGAGCUAUAAGUCAAUUUGGUUUAUAAUUUCGUCGAACAUUUUAUUCAAGUUUUUCUUUCUUGUAUAUAAAUCUUCAACAUGACAGUUAAAUGCUAUAGCUAGAAUUGAUCCUUGGAAGUUAUGGUUAUUCUGAUCCUGAUUCCUGCAUCUUAUGUUACCACCUGUGAUAUCUUUGAUUCAUUGUAAUAAACUAAUAACCUUGACUUCUGAUGGUUUCAGUUAUCUGGCACUGAGAACAUCUCUUUUAGAUUCUUCACUCUGUAUUCUCGCACCCUGUUUCUUCAAUUUCGUCUGUUGAGAGAAGGAUUCAACUUAAUUUCAAUUCAUGUAGAUUUGCUUGUACAAAUGUUUUAUACUGGUGCCCUUGUUCCACAUGUUGGAUGCUUCCACUAAUCUUCUUUACAUUCCUUCAAGCCCAUCUGAAAAAAUUGUAACCUUUUUGAGUUAUUUCUUGCAUGUGAUUCUUGAGACCUUUGAGAAUGGGGUUUGUAGUAUGAAAAUUCAUAGUUGGUCCAGCUGAUUGAUGUAUUCUGGCUCAUCUUAUAUAUAUUUGAAUUGUUGAGGGUAAUGUGUAGUCAAAUUUAGUUACAAACUCGGAAUCGUUGUUGUCACCCAUUGUCAUUAUCACAGGAGAACCUUUCAGCAUUGGAAACAGACUAUAAGCGUCAAUUAAUUCAAUGGAUGCUGUUUUACUAUAUCUUGUUUUCUAGUGAGACUUUUGCAGAUUCUUGACACUGAUUAUGCUACCUUCAGACGUGUUCAAAAAGAUGAG